ACGUAGGGGGCAAGCGUUAUCCGGAUUUAUUGGGCGUAAAGCGUGUGUAGGCGGUUUGUUAAGUUUAAGAUUAAAGCCUGGGGCUCAACUCCAGUUCGUCUUAAAAACUGGCAGACUAGAGUACGGUAGAGGCAAACGGAAUUUCUAGUGUAGCGGUGAAAUGCGUAGAUAUUAGAAGGAACACCAGUGGCGAGAGCGGUUUGCUGGGCCGUUACUGACGCUGAGGCACGAAAGCGUGGGGAGCAAAUAG
rnacentral:rRNA from 1 species